GGACGCAGGCGGGGUCCGAUCCGUGACUAUCUCGCUCGCCAAACGAGAGCGCUAACCACUGCGCCAUUGCCGC